rnacentral:tRNA from 1 species
GGGGUGGGCAGGCUGUGGCUUAGUGGAAGAGCUUCUGCUUUGCGGGCAGGAGGUAUCCGGUUCGAUCCCCGGCCCCUCCA